UAACUUUUUUUUUGGCUGUGCCAGGUCUUAGUUGCAGUACGUGAGAUAUAUUUCCCCAACCAAGGAUCGAACCUGGGCCACCUGCAUUGGGAGCGUGGAGUCUUAGCCAUUGGACCACCAGGGAAGUCCCCAGAUACAACUUUUAAAGAGAUGGAGCAAAUAUAUGAAAUCUCUUGGUGGAGCCCCAGUGCUCUCCAGUGGGAAAAAAUCUUUUCGUGUGCUGAUGCAUCCCACAGAGCCCUCCUGAAGCACUCAUGGCAGUGGAACAAAAUUGCAUACGUCUGUUUCACAUCAGAUCGGAGGGGACCAAGGGGCCAGGUAGCUACAGCAUCUCUGCCUGCCUGGAUACCUUCCUCUCAUCAGCAGCACAGCCACCAACUCGGGCAAGGAAAUAAAACCUUGGACAAAAAGGGGUAAGUCCAGGAAAUGCCAAAUUAGUUGGACUUUUGCAGAUCUUUGUGGGAUCCUUAGACAUUUAUAUUCUCAGAGGAGAGACCUUCCUUUUUUAUUCUGGUAUAAUAGGCAAAACCUCACACUUACCUUUGUAACCAUCUUUGAAUGUGUAAUUCAGUGGGGAGACGCAUUUGAUGACUUCAGUUCUAUGCUGAUGUAUAAUAGAUUGUGUACUCUGCUGUCAAAGGUCCUUAUUGAUCUGCGGAAUCAGACAGUAGGGUCCCAUUGGUUAAGGUGGGUUUGUCUCCUGCAAUAGGGAAACAACCUCAAUAUACCACAUACACAAUGGAAAAUUAUCCAGAGGUCGUUUGUCAUUGAUACAGGUAAGAUCUCAC
rnacentral:lncRNA from 1 species